rnacentral:rRNA from 1 species
UACGAAGGGGGCUAGCGUUGCUCGGAAUUACUGGGCGUAAAGGGCGCGUAGGCGGAUCGUUAAGUUCAGAGGUGAAAAGCCCAGGGCUCAACCCUGGAAUUGCCUUUGAUACUGGCGAUCUUGAGUACGGGAGAGGUGUGUGGAACUCCGAGUGUAGAGGUGAAAUUCGUAGAUAUUCGGAAGAACACCAGUGGCGAAGGCGACACACUGGCCCGUUACUGACGCUGAGGCGCGAAAGCGUGGGGAGCAAACAGGG